rnacentral:tRNA from 1 species
GAAAUAUUCCUUUUAAGCUGCUAACUUAACUUCAGUGAUUAAAAUCAUUAAUAUUUCU